GACGUAGGGCGCGAGCGUUGUCCGGAUUUAUUGGGCGUAAAGAGCUCGUAGGCGGCUUGUCGCGUCGUCCGUGAAAACCUGCGGCUCAACUGCAGGCUGGCGGUCGAUACGGGCAUCACUGGAGUUCGGCAGGGGAGACUGGAAUUCCUGGUGUAGCGGUGAAAUGCGCAGAUAUCAGGAGGAACACCGGUGGCGAAGGCAGGUCUCUGGGCCGAUACUGACGCUGAGGAGCGAAAGCGUGGGGAGCGAACAGG
rnacentral:rRNA from 1 species